GUUUUUGCUGAGAAAAGAUGAGUAAUUGAUUAGCGACUUUUAACAGAGAACCACAUGAGCUGAAACGUGGUAAGGAAGCGUCGAUGAAGAUGGUCUUGGAGUGCAAACAAACAGUGAGUUUAUUAAACGUAUAUUAGCUGUUUGCGGGUCCGCCCGUUAUUGCGGGAGGAUAUAGCUAGUAGCAGUGUAUCUGGACGAGGAUAUUAUGUUAAUCGCAUAAUAUUGAAUAUGGGUGGUACCACGUGAACAAUUAACAUCACGUCCCUAGA
rnacentral:ncRNA from 1 species